GCACCAUUGUACGUGCGCUAGCCUUCUCCCACUCUGCACAGAUUGUCAACUAUACUGUAUUUUUAUCGGGGUUUUUUUCACUUCAUAUUUGCUCCCAAAUGCUGAUACUCUGUGGGAAUACAUAAAGUUCCAGCUGUCGAGACCUGAGAGGAACAAAAAUACAACACGGCCUUGUCACAUUAAUGAAAUGCGCUGCCACGCAAAGCUAGCUCACAAACGGCACAAGCUGCUACCAUAGAGAGAAAAACAGUGCUUCCAGGGUGUACACUUACGCCACCAUGAGGUCAGACUCCUCCGAGACCAACAUGUUCUUCUCAUGGACGAGUUGGAUCCACUGUUCGAUCAGGAAAGUGACUUCAAUCUCUUCCAGCCUUCUCUGGAUUGACUGUGACCAACAAAAACAAAGCAAUUAUUUUGUUUUAAAAAUGGACAUCCAUUAGAAUACAAAGAAAUAUUACCAACUGUGUUGAACCUAAAGUGGUGGAACACUCACUUGUGCCUGGCGUAGUCGCUGUAACUCACUCAUCUUUGCUCGCCGCUCCAGUGUCCUCAUCUUCAGAACUUCCACCUUCUCGGCCCCCGCAGGGUCUGAUGAUAACGUCUGAAACUGAAAUGUCAUUUUGAGUGUAUUUCUGCUUUACGUGUGGCAAUUUACAUUCCUAUGUUUACCUUCUCCUCCAAUAAGUUAAUGUCAUCCUGUUCAAACAUUUCAUCAUCUUCAUCCUCGUCUCCAUCGGCAUUCUCUUCAAAAGUGUUGUGAACAUGUCCGAAUGUUGUUUCUGGAGGAAAACAUUCAAAUGCAUUAAAGCAUUUAUAAAGGCAUAUAUUGCAUUUAUAUUUUUAAGUUUGCUUCACAAAAGUUUGUAAAUGGCCGCACCCUCACGGUCCCUCACUCACCGACUCUCCCCGGUUGAUUAAC